GGGUGGAUGGACAGACGGAUGGACAGACAGAUGGUGACCCUCUGCAGGGGGAAGAAGAGUGCUGGGCAUGGCCGCCUCCCAACUUCCUCGUGUUGAGUUUUCCCAUGAGCCGUGAACGCCAAGCAGCCUCUAACCCAGAGCAUCCAGGUUAAUUACUCAUUAAUAGCACUAAAACACCCUUCACAUUCUCCAGGAAAUAUAUUCCAGCCAGCACGAAAGGCAAUGCAAUGCUCUGAUUCAUCCCGGAAUCUAGGAAAACAUCACGGCAAUAAACUGAUAAGGAAGAACAGGUCCGAUGCAGCUCCUCUCCAGCCUGUAAUUAGAGCAGUCUGGAUGGCAAUUAACACAAAGUUCCCACCGGUGUGGCUCGGGGCAUGCUCCCAUCCCAUUGCUCUGCAGCCUGCUAAGCUGCAGUGAGCUUCAGCUCUCCGGAGUGACCGGGAUGGGCAGAUGUCCCCUGGAUACCCCAAGGGCUGCUCCAAAGAUGUUCUGCUGCAAACCUAUGUGGUUUUUCCCAGCGAGGAAGGCUCAGGGCCAGACACAAACACCCACUGCAGAUGCAGGUUGGGAUCUGCUGCAAUAGCAGUGACUCAGGACUGCACCAUCUCGCCCUGCUGACGGGCUCUGUGUGGGCUCAUCCUGCCCAGGACACCAUCUGCAAGGGCUGGGAGCCACUUGUUGGGCAAAACAGGGGCAGAGGAGAAGCAUUGCUCAACCCGACUUCAUUCACCACCCAUCCCAGAGCACCAUCUCCGUCACCUGCAGCGUAAUUCCCUUUGCAAGCCAAGCAGCACGUCUACUUUCUGCUUUACUUGCUUCCCUCUGCAAAAAACAUUUGCUAACUCCCAUUAUCCAAUAUUUAGCAGUGCACAGCAAUGAACAAAGUGUUAGAGAUGAGAGUACACGCCAUGUGAGGCUGCAUUCAAAAUGCAGAGGCUGUCUGCUGUGGGAAGCAGUGCUCUGUGCAUCUUUCAGGUGCGUUCUGCUCUCAAUCAGAGCCCAAUUAGAAUCCUGUUCUGGGGAAAACAGCUCUUUGAGGCGUAGAGACGGAGCGCUCUACCUGCACAGAGAGUGACUGUUGCUUAUCACAAAGAUAGACAUGGCUACCGAAAGCUGCAGGUCGUUAUCUGUCCCAGUUAUUCUCCUUCCACGACCCAAUGUAAUAAAGACCAACCACACCAUCACCCACAGCCUGCAAUGGUGGUACUAUGGGGACCAGGACCCCACGGAUGGAGGUGCCCCCACAUCUCAACCAUCCCCUCGCUUCAUUCCAGAUGCACACGGAAAGCAUCCCCUGCUUUACAGUUCCAGCCACCCACCCCAGCCCCGCAGCCACUCCAGAAAAGCAUCCAUCCUCAUCGUUCCUCUUGGUUUCAAUCCACAAUCCAGAUUUGCCCUGAGACCUCUGAGUACAUUUUCCCUCUCCUUUUUUUUUUUUUUUUGCUGUUUGUUUUUGAGUCAGGUGUUUUCCAUUCGCUGAUAACGGCGUGUGUUUGUUCCAAGAUCACCUGCAUAAACACGUUCUGGGGGCAGGGGGCAAGGUUCAAGAGUUGAGACCCACGCCGCGUCGGCCAAACCUGUAUUUUGUUCCUUCCAAUUAUACCUCGCCGUAUUAGCAGAUAAUAGCUGUACAUUUAAGCAAAUUAUCUCCAAUAAAAAGGGGACAAUAAUUACA